rnacentral:tRNA from 2 species
GGAGGAUUAGCUCAGUUGGGAGAGCACUUGCCUUACAAGCAAGGGGUCACUGGUUCGAGCCCAGUAUUCUCCACCA